UACGUAGGGUGCGAGCGUUAAUCGGAAUUACUGGGCGUAAAGUGUGCGCAGGCGGCCGAGCAAGUCGAGUGUGAAAGCCCCGAGCUUAACUUGGGAACUGCGCUCGAAACUACUUGGCUAGAGUGUGGCAGAGGGAGGUGGAAUUCCACGUGUAGUGGUGAAAUGCGUAGAGAUGAUGGAGGAACACCGAUGGCGAAGGCAGCCUCCUGGGCCAACACUGACGCUCAUGCACGAAAGCGUGGGGAGCAAACAGG
rnacentral:rRNA from 1 species